rnacentral:rRNA from 1 species
CGGCACAGAGGGAAGCCAGGUGGCGACACCGCGCGGAACCCGAAAGCCGUUCUCAGUUCGGAUCGGAGUCUGCAACCCGACUCCGUGAAGCUGGAUUCGCUAGUAAUCGCGCAUCAGCCAUGGCGCGGUGAAUACGUUCCCGGGCCUUGUACACACCGCCCGUCAAGCCAUGGGAGCCGGGGGUGCUUGAAGUGCGUCGCCGCAAGGCGCGCCCUAGAGCAAAACCGGUGACUGGGGCUAAGUCGUAACAAGGUACC